AAAAUUCAUUUUUCCAUUUCCACUAUUGAUGCUCCUCCCUCAAAGCUUAUCAAACCUUGAUUUUACACCAUAAAACCACCUACUCUCUUCACUAAACUUGAUCCUUGUACUUUGAGUAACUUGAGGCAGCAAAAGGAAGAAGAAAUAAAGGAAGUUUGGCAAGUUGGGAUUAGCUCAUCAAGAGUAUUGCUUAGCGCGUCACUGUUUGCAACGCGUAGGUACUAGAGACACGGAGUGAGAACCUAGCAGACCCUAGACUGGGUGAGAGUCA
rnacentral:misc_RNA from 1 species